UACGGGGGGAGCAAGCGUUGUUCGGAUUUACUGGGCGUAAAGGGCGCGUAGGCGGUCGUGACAAGUCACUUGUGAAAUCUCCGGGCUUAACUCGGAACGGUCAAGUGAUACUGUCGGACUAGAGUACAGAAGGGGCAACUGGAAUUCUCGGUGUAGCGGUGAAAUGCGUAGAUAUCGAGAGGAACACCUGCGGCGAAGGCGGCUCUCUGGGACGGUACUGACGCUGAGACGCGAAAAGCGUGGGGAGCGAACAGG
rnacentral:rRNA from 1 species